rnacentral:rRNA from 1 species
AGAACGAACGCUGGCGGCAGGCCUAAAACAUGCAAGUCGAACGCUCUAGCAAUAGGGAGUGGCGCACGGGUGAGUAACAUGUGGGAACAUGCCUUUUGGUACGGAACAACUUUUGGAAACGAAAGCUAAUACCGUAUGGUCCCUUCGGGGUAAAGAUUUAUCGCCAAAAGAGUAGCCCGCAUUGGAUUAGCUAGUUGGUAAGGUAAUGGCUUACCAAGGCGACGAUCCAUAGCUGGUCUGAGAGGACGAUCAGCCACACUGGGACUGAGACACGGCCCAGACUCCUACGGGAGGCAGCAGUGGGGAAUAUUGGACAAUGGGGGCAACCCUGAUCCAGCCAUGCCGCGUGAGUGAUGAAGGCCUUCGGGUUGUAAAGCUCUUUUGGCGGGACGAUGAUGACGGUACCCGCAGAAUAGCCCCGGCUAACUUCGUGCCAGCAGCCGC